rnacentral:rRNA from 1 species
GACGAACGCUGGCGGCGUGCUUAACACAUGCAAGUCGAACGGAAAGGCCCUGCUUUUGUGGGGUGCUCGAGUGGCGAACGGGUGAGUAACACGUGAGUAACCUGCCCUUGACUUUGGGAUAACUUCAGGAAACUGGGGCUAAUACCGGAUAGGAGCUCCUGCUGCAUGGUGGGGGUUGGAAAGUUUCGGCGGUUUGGGAUGGACUCGCGGCUUAUCAGCUUGUUGGUGGGGUAGUGGCUUACCAAGGCUUUGACGGGUAGCCGGCCUGAGAGGGUGACCGGCAACAUUGGGACUGAGAUACGGCCCAGACUCCUACGGGAGGCAGCAGGGGGGAAUAUUGCACAAUGGGCGGAAGCCUGAUGCAGCAACGCCGCGUGCGGGAUGACGGCCUUCGGGUUGUAAACAGCUUUCGCCUGUGACGAAGCGUGAGUGACGGUAAUGGGUAAAGAAGCACCGGCUAACUACGUG